rnacentral:rRNA from 1 species
UACGGAGGGGGCUAGCGUUGUUCGGAAUUACUGGGCGUAAAGGGCUCGUAGGCGGCCAACUAAGUCAGACGUGAAAUCCCUCGGCUUAACCGGGGAACUGCGUCCGAUACUGGAUGGCUUGAGGUUGGGAGAGGGAUGCGGAAUUCCAGGUGUAGCGGUGAAAUGCGUAGAUAUCUGGAGGAACACCGGUGGCGAAGGCGACAUCCUGGACCAAUUCUGACGCUGAGGAGCGAAAGCCAGGGGAGCAAACGGG